CUUAACAUCUGAAUAUUUGUAUUUUCUCCCCUAAAACAUAAAUAGUAUACAAUACAGAACCGUCUUGGGCAAUUGUAUAACCAGACAAAAUUAUGGUUUUCGGCUUGAUAAGGCAUUAGCCUUGUAGACGUUUCACUGUUAGAGUGGACUACAAAGAGGGGUUGAAAUAUAAUGAGGAGACCAACACUCAUGCAGAGACCAACAACAUUUGCCGACGAAAAUGGGAAACAAAACAUCAUAUUAAUCCCAUUUAUAGAACCAACAACUACAACAGAACCAACAUAGACCAACGGCCAACAUCAGCAGAACAGAUUAUUAUUGUCCUUUGUAUUUGUUUUCUCCUGAUUGUGGUUGCUGCUCUAUUAGUUUGCACUUCAACACACUGGAAAAGGGAAGCUUUGGACGGUUGUUAUUGUAAAUGAGUAUACACAUGUGAACGUUGGUAAAUCCAGUGAAUAGCUGAUGGAGGAAGUUAUUUACAGUGACCUGGUGAGCCUAUAGGGCCUGACACCAAACCUUCAAUAGCCACAGAGAUUACUGCCAGCACUGGAAUCGGAAAUUCUGAAGUUUCAAAUGAUUUAUAAUGCACAAAUAUGCAUGUUUUUAGUAUUGGAAUCCUUUUAACUUUAAUGUGUUUGUAAUGAGGCUACUAAAGGUGUAAAUAAAUAUGUUAGAUUUCUAUCAAUUUAAAUGGC
ensembl:lncRNA